UGCUGGAAGAUUUACAUAGAGAUCUGACCGUGGUUGAGUGACCAUAACCUCAAAAGUCCCGCCACCAGGGAACUCCUGCUCAGAAGGUACAAGUUCUACUAUUGAAUCACUCACAGACAAAAGCCAAUCCAUCUCUCGAAACCACAUCGAUUUCUUUUGUGGCGCUAAUGACUCCAACUUCCAGAGUUCCCCGAAGACUGUAGCAGCUAGAUUGGUGAUGGCAUUGG
rnacentral:misc_RNA from 1 species